rnacentral:rRNA from 1 species
AGUGAACGCUGGCGGUAGGCCUAACACAUGCAAGUCGAACGGCAGCACAGUAAGAGCUUGCUCUUACGGGUGGCGAGUGGCGGACGGGUGAGGAAUACAUCGGAAUCUACUUUUUCGUGGGGGAUAACGUAGGGAAACUUACGCUAAUACCGCAUACGACCUACGGGUGAAAGCAGGGGAUCUUCGGACCUUGCGCGAUUGAAUGAGCCGAUGUCGGAUUAGCUAGUUGGCGGGGUAAAGGCCCACCAAGGCGACGAUCCGUAGCUGGUCUGAGAGGAUGAUCAGCCACACUGGAAGUGAGACACGGUCCAGACGCCUACGGGAGGCAGCAGUGGGGAAUAUUGGACAAUGGGCGCAAGCCUGAUCCAGCCAUACCGCGUGGGUGAAGAAGGCCUUCGGGUUGUAAAGCCCUUUUGUUGGGAAAGAAAAGCAGCAGGUUAAUACCCCGCUGUUCUGACGGUACCCAAAGAAUAAGCACCGGCUAACUUCGUG